AUAUCUGAGACACGAAAUUCGGUUCCUAUUUCCCCUGCUGCUAGAAGUCCAAGGACGCCAGCCAGUUCCGAGUCAAGCAAACAUGAUUCUAUGAAAAAGAAUUCUUUGAGAUCGUCUCAAUUGUCCAUUUCUUCAAUCUGGUAGUCUCUCAACAUCUCUUGACAUAAAUUCCAAUUUUUAUAUGAAGUAUGGGAGCUUUCAUUGAGAUAUAAUAAUAGGUUAUCAGAAUACUUAUAUGUAUGAUUAGCUCUUGAUAUUAUCUUAAGUUUGUUUCUACUCUUAUAUCAUUAUCAUUUUUACUAAAAUACAUGUCUUGUUUCAGAAACUUGACAUUCUUGAUUUUGUGAAGAGCUUAAAGAAGUUUGACAAAGUAAGUAUACUAAUUAAUAUGAAGUUCUGUAAGUAUUUAUAUAUUCUCAUAUUUCUGAAUUUUGAUACUAUUAUACAGUUAAGUUUUCAUCUAAAGAGCUAAUAAUUGAAAAAACCUCAAAUCAUUAGAAUUUAACACAAAAAACUGACUUCAUGGAGUACAUAAUAGAACUUACGAAGUUUGUCCCAAUCUCCAAAUAAGUUAUAGUCCAAGACAAAAAAUAAAUCACUAAAUCUUGCAACAUCUAUUCCUUCUCCUGCUUGAUACAAACUUUGGCUAUUUUUGUUGGCUUAGUGCAAGAAAAUUGGUCUAUUAGACUUCUUUUAAUGGAUCCAUCAUCAAUCCACUCAACCUCAUCUUCAAGCUUUGAUUCCGUAGCAACAGGAGUCUCUUCUCCAACUCUAUCCAUAACCUCAUUCGAACUCUCCAAUAUAGGAAAUGAAUCAGAUUGUUGGCUGUCCGAGCAGUUGGUAGAGUGCGUAGCAAUAAUUUUAGGAUCCGUUGCUAGAGUUGAGACACUAUAUGCCUUAUUAAAUGCCCAACCUUCCCCAAAAGGAACCUUAAUCUUGAACAUAAAUUUUUGUUGAAGUAGGGCAUGUUGAAUCUCUUUUGGAACAGCAAACUCCUUUAAGAUAAAAAAGAAAAUGCACACAUUAAUACACCUUAACAUGUAUUUACGUAAAAUAUUACUUGUAUUGGUUUUUGAAGUAAAAAGAAAAUAAAAAAAUGUACCUCUAUUCCUUCAACAUUAACUUCUGCGGCUGAUUUUCCUAUUACUUGCUUACUCUCCCUAUCCCAUAGUACAAAAGGUGAACUGCUAGAGUCGUCUGCAACAUUUAUUAUCAACUUAUACUUCAUUUCUCCCGACUCGCUAAAGUUGCUGCAAUACUUGCAAUAGAAUUGCUUCUCUAAUUUCUCAAGUUUCCUAAAGCACUUUUUGCAAGAUAUAUAAAACCAACCCCUUUCUUCGUCAAUGUUAACUACAGUACCACAUAUCCAAAAGCUUCCACCCUGUUAAUAUAACACAAAGUAUUUAACACAUAUAAAAUAUUCAGUUUAGAGAUAUUGUAUGUCUUUAAUUGUACCUCUGAAUUCUCACAAAGGUCUUUUAUGCUUGUCACGGUGACUCCGGCUGCAAGCUCAUCAAUAACAGUUGAACUUAUUGCUUGUGAAGUACUUGAGAUAACCGUAGUGCUUAAGCCGGAGUGAAUAAGCCUUGAAAUCAAACAUGGUCAACAAUCAGAAAAAUGUAUAUAUAUACACACACACAUUAAAAGAUGAAUAUGUCUUCAAACAAUAAAUGGUUUGACAUCAAACAAUUAGUUAAAUAAAACAUACCUCUCCUUGAACUUAUGUAUGUCACGUAUAUCUUCGUUCAACAAAAUUUUAGUAACUUGGUACCCAUUUUGCACUUUUACAACACAUGUGAGUUUAAAUAAUAAUAAUAAUAAUGAAGUUGCAAUAUAGCCUAAUAGAUAUUAGAAGCACAAAAGGUUAAAUUCGAUUAAGACUACUUUAUUUAUCUCUAAAAACAUGUUCUCAAAAUUAAUAGAAGAAAUCAUAUUAUUAUAUUCCUAAUCACACUUUGUUUUUAGAUGUGUUCAUCUCUAAACACAUGUUCUGAAAAUUGAUUAAAGAAAUUAUAUUUGAAACAUAAAUUGAAGUAUGAUUGUCACUACAUAAGUUGAAAAUAAUUAAAUAAGUAAAGCUAUUGACUCAAACAAAAUAAAGUUAAGUUCAAAUUUUUAAGUGCCAACAUUGUACUUACCUUGAAACAUACUUAGCCUGCAAAACUGUAACACAAUAAUGUUGACAUCCAUUUGACGUUCUUCAUAUUGUUUCAUGAAAAUAUCAACAUAAUUCUCCCACAAAGUGCAAGACAUUCUCUUUCCCCUUUGAAACAGUAUUAUAUAAUAUAGUAAGAACAACAAUAAUUUAGUUUUAAUAAUAAAGAAGUAGCGACAAAAAUGUACAUAAAUACUCACUCGGUAUCUUCUAGAAUAAGAUCCAAUAUUUUUUUUUCUUUACCAUCUCGAGUUGUCAGUUUUGUUGGAUUAGGCCGGGAGGCAAUUCUGCCUAUAACAUCUGCACAUGUCACGUUGAUGGGACUAAGAUUUUGUAGUGUAUGUAAAUAUAUGAAAAAAAUAUAAAAAUAUUUUAUCAUUACCAAUUGGAAGAGCAUCUGCAAUGUUUUCAGUGGCUUGAAUAUCAUCAAAUGACUUGAAUGCAUAAAUGAUAUUAGGAAAAGUUGGAUUAGCUUCAACUCUCACUUCCGUGUUUCCAUAAAAAGUUGCUUUAUAUUUAUUCGAAGUAACUCUAAACUUUGAUUGAUUAUGUGUAACACCGAAGUUACGUAUAGCAUAAAGUCCUCCUUCUUGAAACUUAGAGAUGAACUUAGAUGCUAUAAGUUUUGGUGCUGUGAAAUGGUACCUAGUUCCCUGCAAUUUGAACAUUUUAACAUGUGUAAGCUCUCUUAAACGUUUAGGAGUGCUAAAAAAAUCUUAUUGUAACAACUAUAAUGUAAUAUAAACAUUAUCCUUCUUAAAAUACUAUAGUGACAAUGACAUUAUGAAUCUGCAACCAUUUUUUGUUAUUAGAUUUGCUUACCAAUUGGAGAAUUUGAACUCUUUGGAUCAAAAUGGAUUAGAAUACAUGAGGGUUUUGAAAAAAAAAACUGUAUUUUUUUAGAGAGCACAACUAAAGAAUUUUAAUAUACUCUUAAGUCUUAACUGCUAAUAUUUGUUUGUAUAUAUCCAACGACUAAUUAAUCAUAUGAGUUUGGUAGAGCUCAGAGCAAAGCCAUCUGGGCGCCAGAGCAGAGCCCAUCUGGGCCAGAGUAGAGAGAGCUCGAUGCCAGAGCAGAUCCCAUCUGGGCGCCAGAGCAGAGCCCAUCUGGGCGCCAGAGCAGAGCCCAUCUGGGCCAGAGCAGAGAGAGCUCGAUGUCAAAGCAGAUCCCAUCUGGGCGCCAGAGCAGAGUCCAUCUGGGCGCCAGAGCAGAGAGAGCUCGGUGCCAGCUCUGGGCGCCAGAGCAGAGCCCAUCUGGGCGCCAGAGCAGAGAGAGCUGUGUGACUUAUAUGACCAAUUUUUGAAAAUGAGGCCUGUUGCAAUAUCAGCAAACUUAUAGGUAUGAUCAUCUCUUGAUAAUAUCUUAAGUUUGUUUAUAAUCAUUAGAAUUUAUAUCUUACGGAUUCUGUCCCAAUCUCAAAAUAAGCAUAAAAAACUAUUUAGCUCAUCAUUUUUGGUUGAAGGCAUGCUAUAACAUCUUAUAAGCAUAAAAACUAUUUAGUAAGCAUAAAAAACUAUUUAGCUCAUCAUUUUUGGUUGAAGGCAUGCUAUAACAUCUUAUAAAACUUUGAUAUAUAAAUCAUACCUCUAUAUCAUGGAAUAUGCAUUCAAAACUAUUUAGCUCUUCAUUUUUGGUUGAAGGCAUGCCAUAACAUCUUAUCAAUCUCGCUUUAACUGCAGGUGACAUUGCCAAAGGGCGAAGCUCGUUGAAGAGUGACCACAUUCCGACCAUCAGUGUUUUUGAACACAAUGAAUCUACAACCAUUUUUAGUUAUUAGAUAUUGAAACUGUAGCAGCUAUAAUGUAAUAUAUAAACAUUACAUCUCUUAAAAUACUACACUAACAAUGACAUUAUAUGAAUCUGCAACAACUUUUAACUAUUAGAUUUGCUUACCAACUGGAGGAUUUCAACUCUAGGUUUGAAUGUAGAAUGCAAGAGGCUGUUGAAAAAAUUUGUAUAUGCCUUAUGUUCUAUAUAUAUGAUUUGUUAGUAUUGGAUUUUAAAAAAUUCAGGCAGGUGUUUUGGGCAUUUCAAUCGGCGGCAGAAUGCGAAUGGACACAUUUAUCUUUUUUUGAUUAUGAAGGUUAUAUAUUACAUUAUGUUAUAUGUUAUUAUAUUUGAUUGGAAGAGCAUCGAGUUGAGUGUUUGCAUGUCAGAAAAAGUGGGCUGCGCCCUUUUGAAGUGUUUGCAUUUCAAUUUGGAGUGUUUGCAUGUUAUUAUAUUCUCAAG
rnacentral:lncRNA from 1 species